AUUGAACGCUGGCGGCAGGCCUAACACAUGCAAGUCGAGCGAGCGGCGGACGGGUGAGUAAUGUCUGGGAAACUGCCUGAUGGAGGGGGAUAACUACUGGAAACGGUAGCCAAUACCGCAUACCAUCAGAUGUGCCCAGAUGGGAGUAGCUAGUAGGUGGGGUACUGUCUCACCUAGGCGACGAUCCCUAGCUGGUCUGAGAGGAAGACCAGUCACACAGGAACUGAGCAACGGUCCAGAGUCCUGCGGGAGGCAGCAGUGGGGAUUAUUGCACAAUGGGCGCAAGCCUGAUGCAGCCAUGCCGCGUGUGUGAAGAAGGCCUUCGGGUUGUAAAGCACUUUCAGCGGUGAGGCGUUACCCGCAGAAGAAGCACCGGCUAACUCCGUGCCAGCAGCCGCGGUAAUAC
rnacentral:rRNA from 1 species